rnacentral:rRNA from 1 species
CAACGUGGGUAACCUGCCUCAUAGAGUGGAAUAGCCUUCCGAAAGGAAGAUUAAUACCGCAUAAUGUUGAAAGAUGGCAUCAUCAUUCAACCAAAGGAGCAAUCCGCUAUGAGAUGGACCCGCGGCGCAUUAGCUAGUUGGUGGGGUAACGGCCUACCAAGGCGACGAUGCGUAGCCGACCUGAGAGGGUGAUCGGCCACAUUGGGACUGAGACACGGCCCAG